AUUCCAGCUCCAAUAGCGUAUACUAAAGUUGUUGCAGUUAAAAAGCUCGUAGUUGAAUUUCUGGUCUCGGGCUUCGGUCUGCCUCAAACGAGGUACGCACCAGUUGUCUGAAUCCAUCCUCGGGGAGAACAUAUGUGUCAUUAAUUUGAUGUGUAUGGGAUCCUCGUCAUUUACUGUGAGCAAAAUAGAGUGUUCAAAGCAGGCUUAUGCCGUUGAAUACAUUAGCAUGGAAUAAUAAGAUAGGACCUUGGUCUAUUUUGUUGGUUUGUACUCCAAGGUAAUGAUUAAUAGGGAUAGUUGGGGGUAUUCGUAUUCAAUUGUCAGAGGUGAAAUUCUUGGAUUUAUGGAAGACGAACUACUGCGAAAGCAUUUACCAAGGAUGUUUUCAUCA
rnacentral:rRNA from 1 species